rnacentral:rRNA from 1 species
UGGGGAAUUUUGGACGAAUUGGGCGAAAGCCUGAUCCAGCAAUGCCGCGUGUGUGAAGAAGGCCUUCGGGUUGUAAAGCACUUUUGUCCGGAAAGAAAUCCUUGGCUCUAAUACAGUCGGGGGAUGACGGUACCGGAAGAAUAAGCACCGGCUAACUACGUGCCAGCAGCCGCGGUAAUACGUAGGGUGCAAGCGUUAAUCGGAAUUACUGGGCGUAAAGCGUGCGCAGGCGGUUUGCUAAGACCGAUGUGAAAUCCCCGGGCUCAACCUGGGAACUGCAUUGGUGACUGGCAGGCUAGAGUAUGGCAGAGGGGGGCAGAAUUCCACGUGUAGCAGUGAAAUGCGUAGAGAUGUGGAGGAAUACCGAU